rnacentral:rRNA from 1 species
GUGUCAGCCGCCGCGGUAAUACGUAGGGGCCAAGCGUUGUCCGGAAUUAUUGGGCGUAAAGAGCUCGUAGGCGGUUCGGUAAGUCGGGUGUGAAAUCUCCACGCUCAACGUGGAGGGGCCACUCGAUACUGCCGUGACUAGAGUCCAGUAGGGGAGUGUGGAAUUCCCGGUGUAGCGGUGAAAUGCGCAGAGAUCGGGAGGAACACCAGCGGCGAAGGCGGCACUCUGGGCUGGUACUGACGCUGAGGAGCGAAAGCGUGGGGAGCGAACAGGAUUAGAAACCCCCGUAGUCC